AUUGAACGCUGGCGGCAGGCCUAACACAUGCAAGUCGAGCGGAUGAAGGGAGCUUGCUCCUGGAUUCAGCGGCGGAAGGGUGAGUAAUGCCUAGGAAUCUGCCUGGUAGUGGGGGAUAACGUCCGGAAACGGGCGCUAAUACCGCAUACGUCCUGCGGGAGAAAGUGGGGGAUCUUCGGAACUCACGCUAUCAGAUGAGCCUAGGUCGGAUUAGCUAGUUGGUGGGGUAAAGGCCUACCUAGGCGACUAUCCGUAACUGGUCUGUGAGGAUGAUCAGUCACACGGGAACUGAGACACGGACCAUAGUACUACGGGAGGGAGCAGUGGGGAAUAUUGGACAGUGGGCGAAAGCCUUGUCCAGCGAUGCCGCGUGUGUGAAGAAGGUCUUCCGAGUGUAAAGCACUUUAAGUUGGGAUGAACGGCAUUAAGUUGAUACCUUGCUGUUUUGACGUUACCAACAAAAUAAGCACCGGCUAACUACGUG
rnacentral:rRNA from 1 species